rnacentral:tRNA from 1 species
GCCCGAUUAGCUCAUUGGGAGAGCGCUUCCUUGACACGGAAGAGGUAGUGGGAUCGUUCCCCACAUUGGGCA